rnacentral:lncRNA from 10 species
GAGCACUGUCUGGAGCUCUCCUGAGGAGCCCACAGAUCCAACUCCCUAGGCCAAGGCUGCAGCCUGGGGCAGAGAUGCAGAGGCCUGGAGGAGCCUAGGGCACGCGGCCUGCGGGCUGGCUGGGGUUCAGAGUUCGUAUGUGUGUGGAGUGACUGGGCAGGUGUUCAGAAAUGAAGGCUGGCACUGCCAGGUAAGGCCCUUCCCUCCCUGAUGUGAGAGCCCUGGAGCCACCGCAGAGGCCCAGUCAGAUCUCUGUUCUAAUUCUGGCCUGGUGUGGAGGAUGAGGAGAGACGGCCCAGAAAGGAAGGCAGACUGUGCAGACCCCAUGUCUUCUGGCCCGCGAGGCCCUCCUCCUGUGCCUGCUUAUCUUAAAGAAUCCGGGAUAAGAGGUGACUUGGGCCUUGGCCGGGAGGCCCCUCCUCAGCUUCAGACAAGGAGGGAGCUCUGGGCAUGAGGACAUUGAGCAAGAGGCGAUGGCAGUGCCCACAACUUACCCUCAGCUCGGCUCUGUUGGGUCCGAGAAGUUGCAUGGAAAGGGCUCCUUGGGGGCCAGUUGUCAGUAAGCUGCAGAAGCCUGGAGCCGGCCAGGAAAUAACCACGUGUAGGAGCCUUCUCAGCUGAGAGGAAGGAGGACUCACGCGCGGCGAGCACAUGCUUGGAGCCAGGCACAGGGCAUGGACUGGAACUCCCAAUACCCCUGACAUGGGCUGAGUCAACGUGGUCAUGAACAUGUGACAGGAGGCAGCAGAAGUUGCAGAGAAGAGUGAGGCACGUUUGAAAAAGGCUGAAAAAUGUUUCUGUCCAGGCAAGGGUGUGUGCUGAAUGACUCAAGGAUUUUUUGGGCAACACAAACCAACACGAGCCGUGUGAGGAUCAGGUGACAGCUGCCCAAAAGCUGACACAAGGAACAAGCCUGGAGGAGUGAGGAUGGGUGCUGUGAAGGAGGUUGUGCAGCUGGGCCCGCAGUCGGACCUGGUGAGAUCAGAGGAGGGGGUGCCACCAGUCUGUGGACGAAGAUGAGAAGCUGGAAUAGAGCAGAAAACAGGAGGCUGCCACUCUCCAUCUUUCCCAAAGUCACUCCAGGAGCAAGGGUGUCAUUUACUGAAAUGACAGACUCUCCAUUUCACAUUUUUCCCCCAAGUGCAGAGUGCAGGGAAGCA